rnacentral:rRNA from 1 species
AUGACGACGCCGCCAAAGAUGACGAGGCCCCGAGCUCGAGCACGACCACUACGACGCACUACACAAAGGCCCCUGCUUCUUGCCUGCCCUUCCCUUUGCUUGGAAGAUAGCUCUCUUCAGAUGUUGUUCCUGUCCUUCUCCUUGGUUGUUGAGCGCUGCACUCACUCAUGUAUGCAGGUUGAGUCCAAGCACAAUAGGCGAGAAGACGACGGUGACGCAGAGGAGGACGAGGACCCGCGCUCCAGCCCGACCACGACUAUGCACCGCACGGUCCCUGCUUCCUGGCUGUCGCCAAUUGCCCCCUUCCCUUUACAGUACUACUCUAUUUGUUUUCAUUGCUUUUCACCCAGUUUUGCACACUUUCUGGCCCUUCACUUUUUUGUGUGCAAAUGUUCUGAUCGCCUCCAUAUGGCUGUUUCCGUCCUCCUGCUCAUGCUGUCUCCAUCCUCCUGCUCAAGUAGUCGCGGUCGCCUCCCAUCCUUCAUGGCCUGCGUGUGUGCGCCCACUGUUGGAGGACGACGUUGA